UAAAUUGGUCAACAUGCAUAGGACGCAUGUGUGAAGCAGAUGUAACACUUUAUCAACCUGUUCAAAGAUUAAAUUUCGUCAAUUUUGUCUCAGCAAUCUAUAUACGUCUCACUCGCACGAGGAAUACAAGCCGUUGGUGCGAGUAGAUGCAUAUAUCUUAUCAAGUGACAUCUUCAAGCACAGUUAGCUUGGUAGUUAGGUCAUGCAUUUUUUUUUAAUCUAGUGUUCAUAUUAUUUAUGUUCGUGUGGGUACCAGCUCAAGGUGAAACUGCUAGGAUAUAAAUAUGUUGUUUACAAAAUGCGCUUCAUUUGAGACCUAAUCGUUAUCUAGUGAGCUAGUGAGCUUCUGAUUUUGCAAAGUGUUUUAUCAAGAAAUCUAAAUCAUGCAGCACGUUCACUAAGCAUUAAGUUUUGCCGAAAUUUCGUGGAUAUUCAGACUUAUCGAUGCCCUUUCUCUACCUAAUUUUGGUCAGCCAAAUGGCGCGAUGCGACGACAAAUUGAAAUAUUCCAAGAUCGAAUCCAAGUAUUUACACAGAGAAAGCAAGCGUUACUUCGGCAACCAGAUUCUCCUAAUAGACGAAGUGAACUUAGUAGAAUAGACAACGAAAUUUCGAGAAAUCAAAGCGCAUUAAUGCGUUUAUACAAUAACUGUAAUUAUCAUCCUUUAGAUGUUUAUUUAUUGUGACGCGAUGGUUUUGUUUUAUUGAUAUUAAAAUUUGUUUUCUUAAAGUGAAGUUUUAUUACCUGCUCAUAUCAUUAUCAGCUGAAAUUUUGAGUGCAUUUGGUAUCAAAAUGUAAAUUUGGUAUCAAAAUAUCAUUCGAGUCACUCUAUCAAUUAGCAAACAACAACUUGAGACAACAUUCCCUCAAGGUCACAGACGAAUGCUACAGUUUAUUGUACUAUGAAGAGCCACAUUCUAAUAAUAGAUACAUUCCGAACAUGAUCAAUUUACAUAAUUUUGUCCAGAAAUCCGCCAAAAAAAAUUACAUUAAUAGCAUCUUCAACUAAUAGCCUUUUCGAAUCUCCAACUAUUGGUCAUUUCGAAAAUUUCCACUUGGCAAUCAAUCCUAGUCUGAUUAAAACGAGUUUCUAUGAGAUUUCCGAACUCACUCGAUUGACUCAGACUAGGGACGUUCGUCAACAAGAAAAUUUCUAGUUCAAAAAAUACUUCGUGUCAAAGUCGUCAGAACGUAAAUUGAUCAUUUCAUAGGCUCGUUUUCCGCGUAAAAGGAGUUUGUUCAUCAAUAAUUAGGGUCAAGAAAUUCUUCAGUAAGCGGUUACAAUAUACAAUGAACCUCGACAUUGUCUCGCUUAAGUUGCAUAUCGGUUGUAUGUUUUGUGUUUUUUCCUUGUAUGCGCACGGCAAAAAAACUUGUAAAUAAUUAUACAAAUUCUCGGUAAUUAUUAAUUUCUAAAUUUCUAAAAAGAAAGUGAAUAUGCAUAAUGACCUAAUUGUGAUUAUUUACUAAACUAAAAGUGAUAUAUUUAUAUAUUUAUUUAAAAUUCUUAUAGCUUUUCAAAUUUUUAAACAGACUUAUUGAUCAUUAAUCGAUUGAAGUAAUCUAAUAUAUAUUUUGAAAAAUUCGAGUUUGUUUCCUGAAAUCUGAGACAGUUUUUCGAUCAAAUUCUCGAUGAUGGGACUUUAGAUGGGACAGUUAGUGUCGGAUAAUUUUUCAGGAUGUCAUUGAAUAGACAGUUAAAGUUUUUACCCAUCAGAAUGGGCAUCAGAGCGCGUCAUUGCAAUAAGCGUAAAUAUUGAUUGUCAUCUUGCGGAUUCGAUUUAAUUAAAAAUAAACUAGGCUUGCUAUUUGUCCGGAAAUACUGAAAUAUUAAAUGAUU